ACUGUCGUUUUUGUUGUCUACGUCCCCAUGUCAUGAAACGAGACGAAAAAAUGGGCGAAACAAAACAAAUUGUUGCUAAUUAUACUUAUAUUCCUGUGAUUUCAAAUACCAAAUGGAUCUUCGUAUCUUGUAUGCAUAGCUUAUUAGCUACUGUCAGCCAUCCCAACAAGUUGACUUCUAGCACUCAGUCACUUUCCAUCUAUUAGAUCCCUAUGCUGUCAAAAGCCUAAAACCCAUGUUUGAAGCACACAUAUAGUGGAAUAUAAAUGUGCAGGUAUAAGGUAUUUUCCCAUUACUGCUACCACACCAACUAAACUAUGUCAAAUACCUUACUAAAUCAUCACUCAUAUGAUAAAGCAUCAGGAAAUUUACCCCACCUGAGGAGUAAUGGAGUUGGUUGCUGUAAUUCGAUUAUUACAAGUUUCCGUCAUGAACAUUUCAGUGUGCUUCUUAGAAAAGAGCACACAAGAUCCCCACGGACAUCCUUGAGUCAAUGCUGGAUUUUGUCCAUGACAGAAGAGGAACUUCCACCAACGUUCCGCUCCAUCCUUAUCUUCAAGACGUACGCUCAUCCAGCUUCACUGCUUCAGCGCUUCUUGUGCUGCUACACAACUUGUCUUGCUUCACUGGCGAGUUGGAUCACUUCAGUUGCUGUGACACACCUCGAUACCUGCAGUCACUCACCAAGGGAUUAUGGCCAG